rnacentral:rRNA from 1 species
UACGGAGGGAGCUAGCGUUGUUCGGAAUUACUGGGCGUAAAGCGCACGUAGGCGGCUUUGUAAGUUAGAGGUGAAAGCUCGGGGCUCAACUCCGGAACUGCCUUUAAGACUGCAUCGCUUGAAUCCAGGAGAGGUGAGUGGAAUUCCGAGUGUAGAGGUGAAAUUCGUAGAUAUUCGGAAGAACACCAGUGGCGAAGGCGGCUCACUGGACUGGUAUUGACGCUGAGGUGCGAAAGCGUGGGGAGCAAACAGG